ensembl:lncRNA LINC00964 long intergenic non-protein coding RNA 964
GACUUGCUCCAGCCAAUGAAAUGUAAGCAGAAGUGACAUAUGCAGCAUGACCAGUGGAAGCUUCGAAGAGCUAUUGCCAAUUUCCACCCUCUCUCUGGAAACUGUCAUUAGGGUUAGGGAAACUGUCAUGAGAUCUGCAUAUUUUAGAUAGAGGCUGCUUGCCUUAUUUGGGCACCUAAUGAAAAAGACAUGGAGGCCAGGUGCGGUGGCUCAUGUCUGUAAUCCCAGCACUUUGGGAGGCCAAGGCGAGUGGAUCACCUGAGGUCAGGAGUUCGAGACCAGCCUGACCAACAUGGCAAAACCCCGUCUGUACUAAAAGUGCAAACACAAAGGGAACUGCGUGGCUUGUUUCUACCUGAACAUUGUCAAGUGAUUUCAUCCUUUGAAACACAGUUGUGAAGUGUGUCCAGCAGUCUGAGAACAAGAAGAAGAAGAAAAUCUAAUCCUUCAGGGUGUCUGUGUGCCAGCCCUGCUCUCAGCACUUCCCAUGUGGAACUCCUUUACUUCUCCUAACAACUCCAUGACAUGGGUUAGACUGUGAUUGUUCCCAUAUUGUUGGUAGGGAAACUGAGGCAUGCAGGUGUUACAGAGCUCUCUCAAGUGGCAAGCUUUCUGGGUGGUUACAGAGUGGCAGAGCUGGGGUAUCCCAUGAUGUCACCACACUGCUAUAUGGAAAAGAACAUUAAUCGAGCACCUACGUGCUUGAUUCUCUUAAUUCUGUGACUGAACUCUCAAAACACCCUGGGUUGGUUUCCUUUUUACAACUGCCCAAGUCAUGAGUUCAUAGGGCCUGGAUGGCUGUACCGGAUUGCUCUCCAGCUGGUCUCUCUGCAUCCAGAAAUUUCUACAACCUACUGGGGUAAAAUCUUUCUCAACCCUGCUUUUCAUCAUCACAUCUUAAAUAUCUCGAGUUGGUUCCCUAUUGCCAAAAAAAAUCCAUUGUCCAUGUAGGGUUCUUCUGCCGAAACGAGGAAAGAAGCACUGCGUGUUUUGAAAUAUACAAAUAGUGGGAAACGAAAUCUUUGUUCUGGAUGCAGUUAUAAUUUGGAAAGCGAGGAAAUAAAUUAUAACAAGGGGAAAAAACAGACACAGAGGGAUUGAAAUGCAUAACAAUAGAGAUGAAACACGAAGAGUGAUAAAUGAAGAUUGAGUGUGCACACCUUCUGGAGGAGCCCUGAUUGAGUAUUUUAAAAUACUACUAAAGUCAUGCCGUGUGACUUCUGAAGCUAGCUCCUAAGAAGUCCUUGCAGCUUCUGCCUGCGACUCUUAGAACACUUGCUUUGAAGGAUGCCAGAUGCUGUCUUAAAAGUCUGAGCACUCUGAAACCAUCAUGCUGUGAGGAAGCCCAAGCUAACCACAUGGGCAAAAAAGAUGCCCUCUGACUGCCACCAUUUGAGACACUCUAAUUAAGAACUGCCUCAUUGAGCCCAUGAGGCCCUGUGAAUGAUAAUAAUAAAUUGUUUUUAACCACUA